AGCUGCUUAGUUAGCUUUGGCUAGCUGUGUGUGAAGCGAAACCAGGGAGUUUAGCCCCGGCUGGCUCUAAUUCCGCUCUCAUUGUGGAAAUGGGGCUAGCAGGAAAUGAGCUAUGGCUAGCCCCACACAGGAAGACGUACGACUUAAAAUAACCAGACAAGCUGGUCCUUUAAUGGUUGCAGUUAAGCAGAAGUUGAGGUAAACUGAACCUGGCUAAAGUGAUAGCCGCGGAAAGACGUUAGCACUCUUUGAGGCCCUGUAAUAAACCUUAAUGAACACUAGGGGCGAUGAUAGGAGACAGGUGGAAGUCUCUCUCUCACACACACACACACACACACACACACACACACACACAGAAAAUGGAUUUGUUCAGUUAAAGAAAAUAUCCACAAAAAAAGAAUUCCCCUCCCUACACCUAAAUAUCACUGAUAAUCGAACACAAAAUACUCGUCGUAGCCAAAUGUUCACGUCUCUGCAACUGAGAAUGAUUAUGAAUGAGAUCGACACGCACUGACGGGGUGAAGGCAUCAAAAGUGUGAUCGAUUAAAAAAGAAACAACAUGGCGACAACACAAACUGAUCAACACUCUCUAACUGCCCCCCCCCCCCAACCCAACCCCCCCUCCAGGGUUCUCACAAAGAUGCCACUUGGACAAGUCCGUGGACACGUUUUCUGGUGGUGGUUGUGAGUUUCUUCCAGUUACAAAAAAAGCUUCCUUUGUCGUAUCACACAGCCCCCCGGGGGGGGGGGGGGGUCAUUGCUGGUGGAACUGGCUCAAGACCAGUUCGAUUUUAUGCAAAAAAAAAUGUCUCGAUACGUCUGGUGGGUCGCGGACAAAAAACAAAAGCCCACCCAAUCACUCAUUAGUCUGCCGUCAAAUGUGAAGAGACGGCGCCGCGAUUCAAUUACACAAGAAAUAAACUCUGACGUUGAUCAUCAAUCCUCAAACAAAACAGUAAAUCAUAACUUUAUACUUUUUAUUUUAUUAUACAUUACCGCGCACGGGAAAAGAAAUAAUGCAAAUCGUGUUGUUGGUAAAAAGCUAAAAAGAAUCCGCCCCCC
ensembl:lncRNA